ACGCUCGACACCUACAGGAGGCAGCAGUGGGGAAUAUUGCACAAUGGGGGAAACCCUGAUGCAGCGACGCCGCGUGGAGGAAGAAGGUCUUCGGAUUGUAAACUCCUGUUGUUGGGGAAAAAGAGGAUGGUACCCAACAAGGAAGUGACGGCUAACUACGUGCCGANGCGCGGUAUAUGAGNGGCGNGNGAGAG
rnacentral:rRNA from 1 species